AUUGAACGCUGGCGGCAUGCUUUACACAUGCAAGUCGAACGGUAACAGGCCGCAAGGUGCUGACGAGUGGCGAACGGGUGAGUAAUGCAUCGGAACGUGCCCAGUCGUGGGGGAUAACUGCUCGAAAGAGCAGCUAAUACCGCAUACGAUCUAUGGAUGAAAGCAGGGGAUCGCAAGACCUUGUGCUACUAGAGCGGCCGAUGGCAGAUUAGGUAGUUGGUGGGAUAAAAGCUUACCAAGCCGACGAUCUGUAGCUGGUCUGAGAGGACGAUCAGCCACACUGGGACUGAGACACGGCCCAGACUCCUACGGGAGGCAGCAGUGGGGAAUUUUGCGCAAUGGAGGCAACUCUGACGCAGCAACGCCGCGUGGGUGAAGAAGGCCUUCGGGUUGUAAAGCCCUGUCAGGUGGGAAGAAACCUCUUGAGGUGAAUAGUCUCGAGAGCUGACGGUACCACCAGAGGAAGCACCGGCUAACUCCGUGCCAGCAGCCGCGGUAACAC
rnacentral:rRNA from 1 species